GAAAUGCGAUAAGUAAUGUGAAUUGCAGAAUUCAGUGAAUCAUCGAAUCUUUGAACGCACCUUGCGCUCCUUGGUAUUCCUUGGAGCAUGCCUGUUUGAGUAUCAUGAAAUCUUCAAAGUAAAUCUUUUGUUAACUCAAGUGGUUUCUACUUUGGUAUUGGCGGUCUUUGCAGCUUCACACCUGCUCCUCUUUGUUCAUUAGCUGGAUCUCAGUGUUAUGCUUGGUUCCACUCGGCGUGAUAAGUUAUCUAUCGCUGAGGACACUGUAAAAGGUGGCCAAGGUAAAUGCAGAUGAACCGCUUCUAAUAGUCCAUUGACUUGGACAAUACUUUUAUGAUCUGAUCUCAAAUCAGGUAGGACUACCCGCUGAACUUAAGC
rnacentral:misc_RNA from 1 species